CCUUCCCUGAGAAUCACCUACCUUGACUUUAAAGAAGAACACAUUCUUCAGCUUUUAAAAACAUUCCACAGCUUCCCUCUGGAUUAAUCUCACAAGGAUCCCAUCAGAUGAACAGGAGGGUGAGGCAGGUACUUCCUGUCCUGUGAAGGGGACCUUGACUGGGGAGUUCUGAA
rnacentral:lncRNA from 1 species